rnacentral:lncRNA from 1 species
UUUAAUGUUUACUUAUUUUUAAGAAAGAGAGGGGGGAUGGGGGGCAGACAGUGAGGGAGACACAAAUCUGAAGCAGGCUCCAGGCUCUGAGCUGUCAGGACAGAGCCCGAUGCGGGGCUCAAACCCACAAACUGAGAUCAUGUUCUGAGCUGAAGUCAGAUGCUUCACCGACUGAAUCGCCCAGGUGCACUGUGUGUGUGUGUGCUUGUGUGUGCAUGUGCGUGUGCGUGUGCGUGUGCGUGUGCGUGUGCGUGUGUGUGUGUGUGUUUAAAUCCACACCCCUGCCCCCUUUUUGGGAAGCCAUGCUUCUCCCACUUGAUGCCAGGGAUGGGCAUGUGGCCAAAUCAUCACGUAAUGGGGCUUCAUCUCCCUGGCAAUCCGUGGUGAUUAGGUCAGAGCUUCUGUGCUUGAGACAUUAAGUUCGAAGUUCCUUCUUAGAAUCAAUAUAAGAUGGAGAGAGAGAACUGUUCUUUCUGUUGGGGUUGCUAAAUCAGGUAUGCGGAAGAAUGAGGUACUUGGGAAAUCAUUUUUGGCCCCAUGGAAGAAGCUCUUAGGCAGUGGGAAAGAAGAAAGUCAGCAACAGAAAGAAGAACAAAGACAUGGAGAGACUGCUCUGCCAUUUUUUGAUUGCCCACUAUAUUCAUCGCUGCAUUACUGGUGGCUGAGACAGAGUCUCUGUUUCCGAAGCCAAUGUGCUUCCAAAGAGGCCGUGAUGCUGGGCGAUGGGGAAGAGACCGACUGAGGAAUUUGCUAAAGCCUCCUGAUGUUUGAUUGGAUGGAGAAAAGAAUGGAGCUGGAAUCCCAGUCAGGAAACGAAUACAAGAGGUGAGGUUGGAGCUGAUCGGCACUGAGCCGGGAUAUCAGCAUCUGCAGUGGAAAAGGCAGAAGAGCUGUUGGGGGAAAUAAAGAGCAAGGCUUGAAGGUAGGAGGAAAAAAU